AUGCUCUCACUUCCCGCCAUCUUGUCUCCUGCAGGGACACAAAGGUGUCAUAGGACCCCUCGGACCUCCUGGACCAAAGGGCGAGAAGGGGGAGCAGGGCGAGGACGGCAAGGCCGAGGGGCCCCCCGGGCCACCUGGAGAUCGGGUAAGCCCCCUCCUUCCAUCCCGUGGACCAUGGCCAAGGGGGAUCCCCGGCCUUCCUGCUAUGUGGGGAGGGGAGGCCAGGCAAGGAGGAGGAUCUGCAGCAAGUGGCCCAUAUGUUCUGUUGUGCUUGUCAUUCAGGGCCCCGUGGGUGAUCAAGGAGACCGUGGGGAACCAGGGGACCCCGGAUACCCUGGACAGGAGGGUGUCCAAGGCCUCCGUGGAAAUCCAGGCCAGCAGGGCCUACCCGUGAGUGGUGUUUCCAGUCCCAUCCCCCCUCCCCUGAGGCGGGUGGAGCAGCAGUGGGGGAGUUAAAGAACUGGGCCCUUUAAAGCUUAAAGGGGAUCCUCCCUGCAGGACAGCCUGGGGCAGCCCGUUCUGGUCUCUCCUGCUCUGACCCUGGGGGCACCCCCAGAGCCUGCACCCCCAAACCCCUCCCCACCCCUCCCCCUCCAGGCGGAGACUGGCCACCCUCCCCGGGAAAGAAUCCUGGGGCUGCCUUGCGUCAUCUCACCUUGGUUUGCAGGGGCAUCCAGGACCCCGGGGGCGACCGGGACCUAAAGGAUCGAAAGGAGAAGAGGUAAGAGGCCUGGAUGUCCACAGGGAAGACUGAGCCCGGGGAGGGGAAGAGACCGGCCCAUGCACACAGCGGGCGGGGGGCAGGGCUGGAAAGCAAUGGGAUCAGGGAGGGGGAUUACCAGCCCCACUUAUGGAGCCUCCAUGUGGGGGACUGCCUGUCGAGGUCAGCCAGUGGGAUUUGAAUCCAGGACAGUCAAGAUCCCAAGUCGGCCUCUUUCCACCAUAGCACACUGUAGAAAGAGAGGCAACUGGGAGAAGUGAAGUGAGGGGGUCUGGAGGAAGAGAGAGGGACAGUG
rnacentral:lncRNA from 1 species